ACUCAACAAGUAUAUAUUAAAAAAGGUGAGUUCAAGUUGUAAAAGCAAGCCGCUCCUCUGAUUAAUUUCAGAUAUAGGACUGCGGAUCCUUGAUCAGUUUGGUAGCCUUAAACCUGUUUAGAGGAGUUU
rnacentral:sRNA from 1 species